UUCAUGCGAGCGGCUUUAAUGGAGCCCUGAGCUGAGCGGUGAGGAGCACCCGAGCUGAGACCCCUGGAACUGAAGAUCUGCAUGCAGUGCAUCUCUGUGUGCCUUUCCACACAUCGAAGACUCAGUCUGCUACGCUAACGAGGUCACUCGAGGGCCAGAAGUACCGACGCCGGAUUCCGUUUUACAGAACAUUCACAGACAUGGGAAGUGGAGAAUCCAAAGAAGGUUCACUUCCAAAGGACUGACAAUGAGAAGAAG